rnacentral:misc_RNA from 1 species
UUUCCGUAGGUGAACCUGCGGAAGGAUCAUUAUUGAAUAUGCUUGAUAGGUUGUAGCUGGCUCUUCGGAGUAUGUGCACGCUUAUCUUGACUUAAUUCAUCCACCUGUGCACCUUUUGUAGUCUUGGGGGUUGAGAUCGGUCGACUAUCGGAUGGCCAAGGUCGUUCCGGAUGUGAGGAAUGCUGAGUGCAAAAGCAUACAGCUCUUCUCAAAUGACUUGUCUUCCUCGAGUACUAUGUAUUCAUAUACCACAUAGUAUGUUGUAGAAUGUGAUCAAUGGGUCUAUGUACCUAUAAUAAUCAUAUACAACUUUCAGCAACGGAUCUCUUGGCUCUC